CAAUCGUCCUCUUCAGUCGUUAAAGACUGGUUUCCUGGGGACAAAUUCAAUUCGAGGAGUGUUGUCUACGCACUUUUGCAACGGAGUCUCAGGAUCACCUCAUGCUCCUCUGUGAGCUCUUUCGAGGUGGAAAAUUUGAUUUUCUCUAGGCCUUAUCCUUAACAAAGGUUGUUUUAAUCUUGGGAUGAGCUACUUUAUUGGACCCAACGCUCUUCCUCUCCUUACACUUUUAAAUAAUUGCCGACUCGUAAAAGACUGGCUUCUUGGAGAUAAAUUCAAUCCGAUGAGUGUUGUCUUUGUACUUUUGCAACAGAGUCUCGAGAUCACCUCUUGCUCCUCUGUGAGCUCUUCCCAGGUGUGUAAUUUAGUUUUCUCUAGGCUUUGUCCUCGACAAAGGUUGUUUUGCUCUUGGCUUGAGCUACUUUCUUGAACCGUCGAGAGUCACUUAAAUAAUUGUCCACUCAUCAAAGACUGGCUUCUUGGGGGCAAGUGUUGUAUUUGCACUUUUGCAACGGAGUCUCGGGAUCACCUCGUGUUCCUCUGUGAGCUUUUUCAAGGUGUGGAAUUUGGUUUUCUCUAGGAUUUAUCCUCCACAAAGGUUGUUUUGCUCUUGGGUUGAGCUACUUUCUGGCAUCUGACGCUCUUCUUCUAUUGAGACACUUAAAUAAAUCUCCAAUCAUCCUCUCCAGUCGUUAAAGACUGGUUUCCUAGGGAAAAAUUCAAUCCGAUGAGUGUUGUCUAGGCACUUUUGCUACGGAGUCUCAGGAUCACAUCCUGCUCCUCUAUGAGCUUUUCUGAGGUGGAAAUUUGAUUUUCUCUAGGCCUUAUCCUCAACAAAGGUUGUUAUACUCUUGGGCUGAGCUACUUUAUUGGACCCAACGCUCUUCCUCU
rnacentral:lncRNA from 1 species